rnacentral:rRNA from 1 species
AACGAACGCUGGCGGCAGGCUUAACACAUGCAAGUCGAACGCCCCGCAAGGGGAGUGGCAGACGGGUGAGUAACGCGUAGGAACAUACCCUUUUCUACGGAAUAGCUCUGGGAAACUGGAAUUAAUACCGUAUACGCCCUACGGGGGAAAGAUUUAUCGGGGAAGGAUUGGCCCGCGUUGGAUUAGCUAGUUGGUGGGGUAAAGGCCUACCAAGGCGACGAUCCAUAGCUGGUCUGAGAGGAUGAUCAGCCACAUUGGGACUGAGACACGGCCCAAACUCCUACGGGAGGCAGCAGUGGGGAAUAUUGGACAAUGGGCGCAAGCCUGAUCCAGCCAUGCCGCGUGAGUGAUGAAGGCCUUAGGGUUGUAAAGCUCUUUCACCGAUGAAGAUAAUGACGGUAGUCGGAGAAGAAGCCCCGGCUAACUUCGUG